UAGAAACCAAAAUGGAAACGUGGAGC
rnacentral:piRNA from 1 species